rnacentral:rRNA from 1 species
AUGAACGCUAGUAAUAUACUUAACACAUGCUAGAUAAUGACGCUGUAUAAGUUAUACAACAUUAUUGUCGUACGGGUGAGUAAUAUGUAAGAAAUUGCCUCGGAGUAUUUUUUACAUGCUCAAUUGCUAAAUUAGGAUAAAUGAGAUAGUUUUACAUAAAAUUAGGUUGUUGGUUAGAUAAUGCUGACCAAACUGAAAAUGUUUAGUUGGUCUGAGAGGAUGAUCAGCCACACUGGGACUGAGACAAGGCCCAGGCUACUUUUGCCAGCAGUGAGGAAUCUUGGACAAUGGGUGCAAGCUUGAUCCAGUAAUGUUACGUGAAUGAGGACGGUGUUAAAGAUUUGUAGUAAAAUACAGAUUGUCUGUAAAGUUAUUUCGCUAAUUAAGAUAAUGACUAAAGUUAGAAAAGAAGCCCCGGCUAAUUCUCGU